CCCAGGCUGGCUGCUUGUGGAUAUGCUCUCAACUUGCCAGAGCUUGGGCAUGGCACUUUUAUUCUGUUUGGUGUUCCAGAGAUGCAAACUGAGACAUGUGAGAUUGAGUCUUAGAUGUGACUUGUACUAGAAUCUCCCCCCAAAAUAAGUAGGAGGAGAGGAAGGAUUUCUCCCAGAUUCAGGAGCACCACGCCAGCCAGUGGAGCUACGCAGCAGAGACACGCAUUGCUCCAUGUUUGCAGGAGCUGCUCGAAGCCAGGCUGCUGCGCCCACCCGCUGGCAUCUCCUCUCCCUGGCUGCAUGGCUCAGGCUUGUGCAAAGCCCUGGGAGACAACAGCCCAUCCAGGGACAGUCCUAGGGCUGUCUAGCAUCUCAGAGGCUGUGGCAGCACCUUAGAGGCUUGUUUGUCCCUGCACAUGCUUCUGCCUCCUUUUAAGCACGUGUAAAACAUACAGCCCAGCACGCAGUCCUCCCUGUGCAUGCCAGUCCCGUAAGGGCAGUGCACUCGCACGCAGCAGCUACAAUACAUCCACAACCUGUGAGCUCGAACAGGGUGUUUAACCUCUGCUCGGCCCAGCGUGGGAGGAGGAUAAUCAAGCAGGCCUUGUGCCAUCUUACAUGGCUUGUGCUGAGGUGCUCAGAGGUUCGGUGUUCGCUCGGGCGCAGGCUGAGUGCUUGUCACUAGAUGGCAAUGCCAUGAAGUGGUUUAGCUGGGAUAUUUGUGCACAUUAGUUCAAGCUGCACCUGAGGUCCCCUGUAACCUGCUGUUUCUGUUUGGUUUGGCGUGGUCUUCAGCGUCAUCAGUGAAAGCCAUUGCCUCGCUGGCAUUCUCGCAUGUGAGGGCGAUUGGACUUUAAGGUAGUUUUUACAUGUUGUAUUCAACGUUUUGGAUAAGUUUACAACACACUAUAUAACCCUGCAACAUCCUCUGGCAUUUUCUAUUAUUGCUUGAGUCACUGGAUGCUAUAAUUGGCAAGCUUUCAAAGGUCCUGAAUAGAUUAUCUUUCCAUAUCUAUUUAAUACUCCAAAUAAUGCAACCAAAGACCCCUGCAGCUCCAGCUGGGAAAUGAAAAGGAUGGUUAAACCACUUAAUUACUUACUGUGCUAACAAUUAUUUUACAGAAACACAAAGCAGAAUCUAGCUGUUCCAGGGGAAAUCAGGAAGAAGUUAAUAUUGGAGUCAUUCUACAAAGAAAAAACACUGCAGUAGACAGCAUGUGCUGUGCUGACACCUGCGAAGGCAGCGCAGAACCACUCUGCCGGGUGCCACCAGCUCAGCGUGGCCAAGGGCUGGUGACAACUCCACGUUCAUUCAAACAAAGCAGGACACGGUGUUUGGAUUCCUGCAACCACUGUGAAUUCUGCAUGCCCAUUUUGCGAAAUCCUGAACAGCUUCAGCCCAUUAAAACUAGAAGGGGUUUGCGGGGUGGCUGAGUUGGCAGGGGGAGAGAUAAGCUGUGGCAAUUUUGUCCGGGCUGAAGUAGGAUAGUUUGGCUCUUAGCUCCAGAAGGCCCAAGUGCUGCGUGCUGCCUGUCUGUCGCUGUUUGUCCAUCACUCUAAGCUCCUUCUGCAGCUAAACCACCCACAAGCUGGGGUGUGUUCCACCUGCCACGGCUUCCAUCAACCUCUGUAGGCACUUGAGAGCAUGUUUGUGAGAGAGAGACACCCAGUGCAUUCAGAGUUUGGCUGCUCACUGCUGGAGCAGCUCCAGGAUCACUUUGGGGUGAUCUAGGCAGUUCUCAGCAUGUCUAGAUCCUUCUCUGGCUCAUCGCUCUCAGUAUGAAAUACAGGAGCACUCAUGUAACAGGGGAAGACGGUAUUACACACGGCGUCCUGGAGGAGUCAUAUGCACACCAUUUUCUCCUUUUACAGAGCCUUGAUGCACUGGGUGGACUCCACCUCACCCCACAGCAAACAGAAUGACUUUACAGUGCAGCUUCAGGCCAAAUGCAGUGUGCUCCCAAUCUCCCUGUGCUGGCUUUCCAGGGAACUGCCGCCUCUGUUCUUCCAGCCAGGGGAAUCCUGCCUUCCAUUCCUUGCCUACAAAGCCACGUAGCUGAGAUAUGCCCAAAAGCAGAGCUGUGAGUAAAAAGUGGGGCUGCAAAUUCCUAGCCCACUCCCUCAUCUGUUUUAUCAUGGGACUUCUAAACUGCUCAUUGCCCUUUCCAGAAAUGAGGAAAUUAAAUCCUUUUCUGCAAGAAGAGAUGCACACUAUAUGCAACACCAUUGGCUGACCAUUUGAGAAGAAGAAACCUGAAGUCUGCUGCUACUCAUGCAGUGUUCACUUUAAGCAGAGUUUGUUACAAGUCCACAUCUUACAUGUGUUAAAACAAGGCGUCAUCCCCUUUCUUAUAAAGUAAAUGUAUAGGGCCUUGCUCUAAAUGCUACUUUGGCAGCCUCUUUUUCUUACCAUCUGUAAAAUGUGACACCUCUGUCGGUCUUGGAAAGGAAGCUGAGCCUCUGCUGUUCCAAGCAGAGAAAGAAGGUGAUAUUUAUAGUCAACUAACCAUAAAACUGUGACUUCCAGAGCUGCACAUGCUCAAGCCCUCCCCAACCCUCAACUCUAAAUGUCCUUCUUUAUACAGAUUUCUUCAGGAGUCGGUCA